CGUGUCGAGACGUGCUUGCUUGUAACUCUUUCAACUGGAUGAGCUUAAAAUCCGGAUUGUUGAAAAUGACAAAUCUGUGGUGUUGAGUGAUUGUUUUAUCUUUCCUACAUUUUCGUGAAGUGUUAUUUAAACUGUUCGUUAAGUAGUUCCGUGAGUGUCGAAUAGUCGAAGUGCACAGUUAGCUGGUUCAUCGUAGCUGUUUUAAAGCAAGGAUUGUUGCCUUCAGAGGGAGCGAUUUACAAAGUGUAAUUCAGCUCUCUCUGCUGGCAGUCAGGUUAGUGAGCAUGUUAGUAUAAAUAUUCUAGUAUUGCCCCA